CUGCCAAUCCCAAUGUGUACAGUGAAAGACCCACUGACAAUGGUGGAAUGUCGGGCCCAUUCCAGACCAAGUCCAGAGGAACAGCAGUCAUCAUGCAAUGGAUCUGUCCAAACAAUCAUUGUGUGUGGCAAUGGAACUCCCAGCCUACUUUCAAGUACGGGAUGCAAGCUGGGGACUUCCUUUUGGCAUCAAAUAUAUUACUAUCUUGCAACAAUUAUGCCAAAGUUGAAUUGCUCUUCAAGUUUAUGAAUAUGGGAAUAGUGGAGCGGACAACCUUCUUUAAAAUACAGGACACAUACUGUGUUGAUACCAUCAAAGACUUUUGGAACAGCAACAGAGCAGAAGUAGUUUCCAGGCUGCAGUCAAAGGACAAUGUUGUAGUACUUGUCCUGGGUUUUGUGCUCAGUACUGCACCUACACCAUCAUGGAGAAUGACACCAAAGAAAUCCUGUCAAUAGUCAACAUUGACAAG